UGAGGACAGACAUGUACCGUCAUGAAUGACAUUGACAGUUAUGACUUUAGUCUGAAAAGUGCCUCGAUGAUAUUAGGAACUCUGACCAGCAGCCUAGUACCCAUGUCUAUGUAAUGUUACAGUAUCAUUAUCUAGUUGCUGGGUGGAUAUGACAGACAUGUACCGUCAUGAAUGACAUUGACAGUUAUGACUUUAGUCUGAAAAGUGCUUCGAUGAUAUUAGGAACUCUGACCAGCAGCCUAGUACCCAUAUCUAUGUAAUGUUACAGUAUCAUUAUCUAGUUGCUUGGUGGAUAUGUGACCUGCUAUGCAAAAGGUUCUCUCGCAUGUGAAAAAAUUCAUUAAUCUUUACACAUUGUUCUAUAGUUUCGAUUACCAAGGCAGAUAAAUCCUCGGGUAAUUUGGAGAAGCAAGUGACACCUUUUGGAGUCCUGAAUCACAUGGUUUGUUCAAUAGCAGCUUAUUGUUGACGUUCCUGUUAAGGCGUAUGUGCCAUGACAAGCAACCAUAUAAUGAAUAAAUUAUUGUUUUCCUG